rnacentral:pre_miRNA from 1 species
AAUAAACCAAUAUUUUAUUUUUUAUCUAUAAUUUUUGACUCUUCGUCUUCUUCAAAAAAAAUUUGCGAUUGAUAUUUUUGUUUUUAUUAGAUGAUAAAUCGUGAAUAGCAGUUUACGUGUGACUAUUUUUUUUUCUAAUUUUCUAAAAAAUUUUCAAAUAAGACGGAUGGUCAAACAUUGGAUACGGAAAUC